GCGCAGCAGGCGAGAAUUUUUCACAAUGGGGGAAACCCUGAUGGAGCGACGCCGCGUGGAGGAUGAAGGCCCUUGGGUUGUAAACUCCUGUCAUAAGAGAACAAGAAAGUGAUAGUAUCUUAAGAGGAAGAGACGGCUAACUCUGUGCCAGCAGCCGCGGUAAUACAGAGGUCUCAAGCGUUGUUCGGAUUCAUUGGGCGUAAAGGGUGCGCAGGCUGUGUGGUAAGUCAGGUGUGAAAUUUAGGGGCUUAACCCCUAAACUGCACUUGAUACUGUCAUGCUAGAGGACUGUAGAGGAGAUUGGAAUUCACGGUGUAGCAGUGAAAUGCGUAGAUAUCGUGAGGAAGACCAGUGGCGAAGGCGAAUCUCUGGGCAGUUCCUGACGCUCAUGCACGAAGGCUAGGGGAGCAAACGGGAUUAGAUACCCCCGUAGUCC
rnacentral:rRNA from 1 species